rnacentral:tRNA from 1 species
GGAGAGAUGGCUGAGUUGGUCGAAAGCGCUCGACUCGAAAUCGAGUAGGGGCCCGAAAUGGUCUCUCGAGAGUUCGAAUCUCUCUCUCUCCG